ACGCGAGGAACCUUACCAGGUCUUGACAUCCUCUGACACUCCUAGAGAUAGGACGUUCCCCUUCGGGGGACAGAGUGACAGGUGGUGCAUGGUUGUCGUCAGCUCGUGUCGUGAGAUGUUGGGUUAAGUCCCGCAACGAGCGCAACCCUUGAUCUUAGUUGCCAGCAUUAAGUUGGGCACUCUAAGGUGACUGCCGGUGACAAACCGGAGGAAGGUGGGGAUGACGUCAAAUCAUCAUGCCCCUUAUGACCUGGGCUACACACGUGCUACAAUGGGUGGUACAAAGGGCAGCAAAACCGCGAGGUCGAGCCAAUCCCAUAAAACCACUCUCAGUUCGGAUUGUAGGCUGCAACUCGCCUACAUGAAGCUGGAAUCGCUAGUAAUCGCGGAUCAGCAUGCCGCGGUGAAUACGUUCCCGGGCCUUGCACACACCGCCCGU
rnacentral:rRNA from 1 species